GUGUGUAUGUGUGUGUGAGGUUGAAGGAGGUGAGCUGCCAUGUGGACGAGGUGAUUAGAUUAGCAGCAUCUGAGUCCUGGGCUCCGGGCCGGAGGUCUGUUAGAGGGUCAGGGCUCGUCUCUCUCCGUACUUUCAGCUGCUCUCUGAUUAGCCGCUGAUGGGCGAAGUCACCCACAACUUACAGCCGAGACAACUUUUCUCCUCGGUAAACAAGGAUUGGCUGGUAUAUCUGGCAGCCGGGGUACCCAGGUGUGGUGCGGGAGGUACCCAGCUGUGAGGCCACCAGCCCAGGCAUGACUCAUAACAGCGUCCCCCUGUCAUCCUGUCAGUCACGGCUGACAGAGGCCUCAGCAGGACACAGCAUAAAGGGUGAAAUCCAUGUGGAAGUGAUGAUCUGCGAGCCCACCUCUGAAUGCCUUUACUGUGGGAAUGACCCAUUAUUCCACACAUGGGCAAGCAGCACAAGAUCGUAUGAAUAAAAGACUUCCCCUGCUGACACUGGUGGUUCACACCUCCUCUUCUUUGUACCCCUUUUUUAUUUCCAGUCCCCUUACCUCUCCCAAAACAACUCUAUAGAAACAUGGCUUUUUAUCUUCAUGUCACUCAUGUCUUUAUAUGAAUGCAAUUUCCAAUAAUACAAUUAAAUGUUGCUUUAAGAGA